GGUCCCAGUGCCCUUUUGGGGGACCCCAUGCUUUUCUGGGGGAGGUCCCUGUGCCCCACGGGGGAUUUAAGGUGGCACAGAUGGGAUUUAAAGGGGGGAAAUACCCACUUUAUGGGAAUUGCAGGUCUGGGAGCUGUCCCCGUGGCCCUGAAUGGGCUUUAAGGUGGUUCCUGCAGGAUAUGAAGGGCCCUGGUGGGAUUUAAGGUGGCCCAGAUGGGAUAUGAAGGGCCCAUAUGGAUUUAAGGUGGCCCAUAUCGGAUGUAAGGGGGGGCCUUAUGGGAUGUAGGGGACUAGGGGAUCUCCCUAUGGCCCUAGGUGGGCUUUAAGGUGGUGCCUAUGGGACAUGAAGGGCUGCAAUGGGAUGUAAAGACGCCCGGAUGAGAUAUGAAGGGCCCCUGUGGAUUUAAGGUGGCUCUUUUGAUACUUGAAAAGCUCCUAUGGGCUUUAAGGUGGCCCUUAUGGGAUACGAAGGGCCCAUAUGGAUUUAAGGUGGUAUACAGGAUGUAAGGGGAGGCCCUAUGGGAUAUAGGGGUCCGGGGGCUGUCCCUAUGGCACUAAAUGGGCUUUAAGGUGGUCCCAAUGGGAUAUGAAGGGCCCUGAUGGAAUUUAAGGUGGCCCAGAUGGGAUAUGAAGGGCCCUGAUGAAAUUUAAGGUGGCCCAGAUGGGAUAUGAAGGGACCUGAUGAAAUUUAAGGUGGCCCAGAUGGGAUAUGAAGGGCCCUGCUGGAUUUAAGGUGGCCUGUUGAGGAUGUAAGGGGGGUCCCUAUGGGAUGUAGGCAUCUGGGGGCUGUCCCCAUGGCCCCAAGUGGGCUUUAAGGUGGUCCCUAUGGGAUCUGAAGGACCCCCCAUGGGAUUUAAGGUGGCCCAGACGGGAUAUAAAGGGGAACCCCACGAGGCACGAGUGUCUGGGGACCCGGCUCACCUUUCCCCUCCCCCCGCAGGCAGAAGCACCCCCCGGCCACGCUGGCCGCCAUCAUUAAGGAGGCGGAGAACAUCCCCGCGCUGCUCCCCAACAUCGCCGCCCUUAAGGAGGCGCUGGCGAAAGCCCGGGCUUGGAUCGCCGACGUGGAGGAGAUCCAGAACGGGGACCACUACCCCUGCCUGGAUGACCUGGAGGGGCUGGUGGCCGUGGGUCGCGACCUCCCCGUGCGCCUGGAGGAGCUGCGGCAGCUGGAGGUGCAGGUGGGCACGGCGCACUCCUGGCGGGACAAAGCUUCCAGGACCUUCCUCAAAAAGAACUCCUGCUACACCCUGC
rnacentral:lncRNA from 1 species